rnacentral:rRNA from 1 species
AUAAUAAUAAUUUUUCAUUACAAAAAAAAUUACAUUAAAAAGUACUGAAAAGGAAUAAAAAGAAAAGAAAAGAAAAUAUAAAAUAUUGUUCCUUGUGUAUCAUGAUUUUUAGAAAUAAAAUAAUAUUUAUAAAUCUCGAAAAAAAAGGAUCUAAAAUCUAUUGUGAUUAAUAUUUCACUAUUAUAAAAAAAAGUUUUUAGCAAUAAAAAAUUUUCAACUUUUUUGAUAUCUAGUUUUUUUAGAAAUAAAUUCAAUUUAUUUAACUUAAAUAAAAAAUAAGUUAAAAAAUUUUUUGAGGGAUUAGCUUCAAAAAAUAAAAUAAUUUUUUAAAAUUUUUAUAAAAAGGAAUCAAAUUAACUAAAAAAAAUUAAAACUUUAAAAUAAAUUAAAAAAAUUUUAUAUAAAUUAAGUUUUUAUAAAAAUAUAUUAAACUUCUAUAAAAAAAAACAAUUAAAAAAUAAGUAAAUUUUUUAAAAAAAAUAUUAGAACUCGGCAAAACAGCUUUCGAAUGUUUAACAAAAACAUUGUCUCUAGUCUUUAUUUGAGAUACAACCUGCUCAGUGAAAUUUAAACAGCCAGAAUAUGCUAAGGUAGCAUAAUAAUUUGUCUUUUAAUUGAAGUCUAGAAUGAAAGGUAAAACGAAAAGCUAACUUUUUUUAUUUUUAAAAUUUAACCUUACUUUUAAGUUAAAAGGCUUAAAUAAAUUUAAAGGACAAUAAGACCCUAUAGAAUUUAAAAUAAAAUAAAAAUAUUAAGAAAAAAUAUAAUUUAACUGGGGAAGUUAAAAAAGAAAAAUUUUUUUUUAAAAAAACUUUAUAAAGAUUUUUAGAUCCUAUAAAGAUAAAAUGAAAAAAUUACCUUAGGGAUAACAGAGUUAAACUUUUUGAGAGACCUAAUCGAAAAAAGAAAUUGCUACCUCGAUGUUGAAUUAAGUAAAAUUUUAAUAGAAAAAAAUUAAAAAAUUAGGUCUGUUCGACCUUUAAAAACUUACAUGAUUUGAGUUAAGACCGGUGCAAGCCAGGUUGGUUUCUAUCCUUACUUUUUUUUUUGUAGUACGAAAGGACCCAAAAAAAUAAU